UUGUAUUAAUUCACCUGCAUCUAAUACAUAACAAGUCGUUUACAAAAUAACGCAUACGACCCUAUAACUGCGGAGUUCAAUAAUAUUCUGAUAAUAGGGUAAUUAGCACAUCCAAAUUUAAAUAACAAAAAUAUAAAGUUUACAUUUAUAACUCUGCGGAGAAGAUUGCAGAGCUUCCGUUGGGGCAGAAACUUCCUACUACCUGAGAAGUUUGGGAGAAAGGAGUGAGUUUUGCAACUCAGUGAAUAAUAAUAAAUAAUACACGUCGCAUACAGUCACACAAAAUGCGCCCUAUUAAACUGAAUGAUCACACACAAUCAAUCAUAUGGCAUAACAUCAGCACCCACAAACAAUAUCACCUUCAAAUAAUCACCUCACGUGGAAAUUGGUCAGUGGCGUCACCUAAACCCCCGACGAGCCGUCCUCUCAAACAGCCCAUCCUCUCAAACAUGUGCACCCCGGGGAGCCAAUCCCCCAUAUCUGGCCGACCGGUCUAAUCCUCACUUGACCAGCCCUCUCAAUAUCUUAUUUUGCAUUCUCUCUUUUCUUUCCAAUAUUAUCAACAACAUUUCAGCAGUUCAUCAGGUGCACACGGGGGCGCCGAUCUCCCAUUUACCCGGCCGACGGUCCAAUUUNNN
rnacentral:lncRNA from 1 species